UACGAAGGGUGCUAGCGUUGUUCGGAAUCACUGGGCGUAAAGCGCGCGUAGGCGGCUUGACCAGUCAGGGGUGAAAUGCCAAGGCUUAACCUUGGAACUGCCUUUGAAACUGUCAAGCUAGAGUGUCGGAGGGGAUAGCGGAAUUCCUAAUGUAGAGGUGAAAUUCGUAGAUAUUAGGAGGAACACCGGUGGCGAAGGCGGCUAUCUGGACGACAACUGACGCUUAGGCGCGAAAGCGCGGGGAUCAAACAGG
rnacentral:rRNA from 1 species